rnacentral:rRNA from 1 species
GUGGGGAAUUUUGCACAAUGGGGGAAACCCUGAUGCAGCAACGCCGCGUGAGUGAUGAAGGUCUUCGGAUCGUAAAGCUCUGUCAGAGGGGAAGAAUAUUCUACGGUCAAACAUACCGUAGUUCUGACGGUACCCUCAAAGGAAGCACCGGCUAACUCCGUGCCAGCAGCCGCGGUAAGACGGAGGGUGCAAGCGUUAUUCGGAAUCAUUGGGCGUAAAGCGUGUGUAGGCGGCCCUGAAAGUCAGAUGUGAAAGCCCCGAGCUUAACUUGGGAAGUGCAUUUGAAACUACAGGGCUAGAGUAAGGUAGAGGAGGGUGGAAUUCCCAGUGUAGAGGUGAAAUUCGUAGAGAUUGGGAGGAACACCGGCGGCGAAAGCGGCCCUCUGGGCCUUUACUGACGCUGAAACACGAAAGCGUGGGGAGCAAACAGGAUUAGAUACCCCGGUAGUCC